rnacentral:pre_miRNA from 1 species
GGAAACUUGAAAACUACCGUUGGAUCGAGAAAUGGACGUCCGAGAUUCGUCCAUGUCACUAUGAGUUAAAAUUUAAGUUAUUUUAACUCAUGGUGACAUGGACGAAUCUCGGACGUCCAUUUCUCGAUCCAACAGUAGUUUCCAAGUUUCC